rnacentral:rRNA from 1 species
CCUACGGGAGGCAGCAGUUGGGAAUUUUGGACAAUGGGGGCAACCCUGAUCCAGCAAUGCCGCGUGUGUGAAGAAGGCCUUCGGGUUGUAAAGCACUUUUGGCGGGAACGAAACGGCGCUUGCUAAUACCAGGCGCCAAUGACGGUACUCGCAGAAUAAGCACCGGCUAACUACGUGCCAGCAGCCGCGGUAAGACGUAGGGUGCAAGCGUUAAUCGGAAUUACUGGGCGUAAAGCGUGCGCAGGCGGUUUUGUAAGACAGGCGUGAAAUCCCCGGGCUCAACCUGGGAACUGCGCUUGUGACUGCAAGACUAGAGUGUGUCAGAGGGAGGUGGAAUUCCGCGUGUAGCAGUGAAGUGCGUAGAGAUGCGGAGGAACACCGAUGGCGAAGGCAGCCUCCUGGGAUAACACUGACGCUCAUGCACGAAAGCGUGGGGAGCAAACAGGAUUAGAUACCCUGGUAGUCCACGCCCUAAACGAUGUCAACUAGUUGUCGGGGAUUCGUUUCCUUGGUAACGCAGCUAACGCGUGAAGUUGACCGCCUGGGGAGUACGGCCGCAAGGUUAAAACUCAAAGGAAUUGACGG